rnacentral:lncRNA from 1 species
UUCUCCUUCUCCUUCUCCUUCUCCUUCUCCUUCUCCUUCUCCUUCUCCUUCUCCUUCUCCUUCUCCUUCUCCUUCUCCUUCUCCUUCUCCUUCUCCUUCUCCUUCUCCUUCUCCUUCUCCUUCUUCUUCUUCUUCUUCUUCUUCUUCUUCUUCUUCUUCUUCUUCUUCUUAGAUGUUACAAAAUUCAAUUUUGGGUGCCUCUGAAUUAUCUGAGUCCUGAUUAAUCUAUCAUUCUUUCUAUCCCCCUUUUUUCUCUGUCCCUUACACACCCUUCUUUCCCCCGCAUUAUUACUUAUAACAAUCCAUAGCAUUAAUGAUGAGAGACCAUAUAGCAUUCCUUUCAAGGAUAGAGAAAUAUCAGAGGCAGGCUGGAGUUAGGUUUCAGAGGAACAUGUUCAACAGAGCUCGUCUUGGGAUGGGUCUGAGGAGAAACACAUUGCUCUCCUUUCCUUGCCUUCUUAAACAGCUUCACCUAUGCUUAUGCUUCUCACACACAAAGGACCAUAGCAUGCAUUUAUCUGGGUGGCUUUCGUGAACAGAUAGUGGAAUAUCCUCAACUAGGUUCGGUUAAUACCGGAGAACUUCGUUUUCAUAGCAUAGAAAAGGUAUGUACAGAAAAGAUUAUGAGCUGCAGGAGAGCCUCAUAAGAGAAUAUUUUCUUCAAUACAAUCAUAAAAGCUACAAAUUUAUCAUUCACGGAACACAUGACUCUCUGGCAAGCAGAAAGGUGGUCUGAAAUGAGACAGAGAGUAGGCACCUGUGAUGCCCAAGGAUGAACAGACCAGAACUAAACCCCAGCAAGAUUCUUAUACUUUUUCUGGAAAAAAAAACCCUUAAAUGUCAAGGGCACAUUUAGCUUUGCCUCUUUAGAGGUAAAGCUCAGUGCUACUUCUGGGUUCUUAAGGCAAGUGCCCUGUAAACACCAAAGUCUUGUAUUUUCUACUCUCAGCCAGCAUUGGCUGUCCCGAGUAGGAUGUUUUUCCCUUCCUUAAGUGAAAGGGUCUUGUUUCAGGAGAAGUGUCCUUUAAACAUCCAGCUAAAACUGGAGGUAAUUUUUUGCAUGAAUGGCUUUUUACAGCUAGGUCUAAAGCAGAACAAAACUUGUAUCAAACUAAGUGCUACUUUACAUAUCUUAUUUCAAGGGAAAUGAAGGAUUUAUUGCCGUGUAAAUGAUAUACACUGAUUUCUUUCCUACUGGACAUUACAUGUCCCUUUAUCUUCAGGCUGAUGUUGUGCAGCAAACUUUCAACAUCUGGAAAAUCAGCUGGUACCUACUUCAGAGCACUAGCAGGACAUUUUAUUCCCAGAGAGGAAUUUUGCAAAUGAAGUUUGGGUGCUGAUGCAACUGAUUUCCAUCCCCUAUCCCUAAGCUUUCUGUACUAAAUAUCUGUAAAAUGAUUAUAUCUUGUCUGACCCUGUGUGUUUGUGUAUAUUCCCCAAUGUUUGUAUAACUAUAGUGGCAAUCUGAAGGGUUAUUUUUAUUUAUGGCAACUGCUGAACAAUGAUGAAUGUGGCAUAGUGGUACACAUGUGAUAUAUGUACACAGCAGUAUUGGGGCCAAGCAAAUGUACUCACUGAGUUUGGGGUGAGCAUCAGUACGGCUUGGCUUGUGGGAUAUUCCAUGAUGGGUAGAGUAUUUCCAAAUUACUCUUAACUGCUAAAGAACUUGAAGAAACUGAGCUGGAAAAUGCUCAUCCAGAUCUUAGGUUAUUUAUAUAAGUCCCAACUGACAAAUAUUCCAUCUUUAUUUUAACAAAACUAUUCUUUCAUGAUGCUCAUUGUUUUAUUCUACAGGCUACGUGGAAGUGCUGAUCAUGCUUGCUUCCAAUGAUUGGAUUCCCAAGCUGAUAAUAUAACAGACUGUGGUGUUACAUACACUAGGAUUAACUUGUAGUACCCCUUUUUGGAGAAGUUAUUCUUUUCAUUAUUUUCCUUUCUCAUAGAUUAAUUCCACUGUCUAUGCUAACUUUAUUUAGAUAUGUGCAAGUACUGAAGAAUCAAUCUAUUUAAAAUGAUGGCUGUGUUUGCCUUUGGAGAACAGGUUCAUAGUCUUAUGUAAAAUUCUUCCAGGAGCUUAUCUUUUAUGAAACAGAACAAAAUCAAACUAGAACAGAACCAAGGGUGACUUGAUAAAAUGGCAAGAUAGCCCCAGGGUAGAAAGAGGUGUUCUCAGUUGACAUGAAGAGUUGUACUGGAAAGACAAGUACCCACCCUUCUUCUCUUCCCACCUGCCUCCCUUCCUCCCCAACCACAGAAGAAAACAGAAACUUAUUUUUUUAAAACUGUAUUAAUAAUUUAUGUUUAAUACAAAAGGAUGAUUUAAUGGUAUCACCAAAGGUCAUUUCUCUCAUUGUGCAUGUCCUUCACUCUCGACCCCAAAUAUUCAUCCCAUUCUUCACCCUCACUUCCAUUCCAAUGCAAAUGUGUGUCUUCAUCAAACUCUAUGGGUGUUGGAGUUACAUGUGGGGGUAGAGAUUUAAUACCUUGACACUAACAAAAACCAACCAUCCUUCACUUCCAAGUGACAGUUAUUACAAGAAGGAAAACUCUUUUCCUGGUUUUUGUUUAAAAUCAUUUUAUACAUAUAUAUGUAUAUAUGUGUGUGUAUGUAUGGACAUAUGUAUGUAUAUGCACAUGUACAUGUAUAUAUGUAUAUAUCCAUCUCAAUAUAAAUAUAUGUGAGAGCUGUAAAUACUCCUUGGUCAUGCAUCUGUCUUCUUCAUAGUAUCAUAUCUUCAAUGUUAUGUUAACGACUCCAUUUAUUGAUGAUGAGAUCAUGUGUAGACCUGUAUCCUCCUGACAUAGUUUAUGUAGGGUCUCUUCUCAAAUAAAGAAUAAAAC